CUCAGUAUUCCUACUUCUCCAGUGCACAGCUGACGCCUCUAUGGGUGCGACUAAGGGUUCAGCUCCACAGGAAGCGUAUGAGGGGAAGAGCAGGCACCCCACCCACCUCUGCUCAGAUCGUGCUGUCCCUUGUUUUGUACUGCUUGGCUGUGUUGUUCUCCCUUCAGCUGAGGAGAGUACGCAAACAUUUUUAAAAGACAGAGAGAGAGAGAGAGAGAGAGAAAAGUUUGCAUUAUUUAUGUUAGUGCCACAGAUUUAUUUCCAAAAAGUCCCUGUUUGCUGGAGAUUUAAAAAAAAAUACCACUGCCCCUUCUUCCAGAUUACAAAGGCCGCUGAUUUAGUCCUUUGGCUCUGCUGCGUCCUCCUUCCUGACUUGAUUCCUCCUAGCAAGUGCCUCCCCAGCAGAUUUCCCUGUGAUGGGGUGGGAGACUCAAAGCAGGCCGCCUCAGAAGUAAACAAAGGCACUGGAGGACAGUGAUGGUGACAAGGUAGCACAGUCGUGUGAGGAAUGUGGGCCGCUCGGCCAGAUGGGGCAGCAGCACAUAACUGCUUUAGUAGCAGAAAAUUUUGCUGUUUUGAGUUUGUUUCUUCCUCUGCAAAAUGAAGACAGGAUCUACCCUGCUGGUUCAAAGCGAAGGUCAAGCGCCAGAACCAGACAAGUGUGGCUAUUUCAGCAAACAGCGAAAAAAAGCCCCCGAGUUCCCAUGCGAGAAGACGCACUUGCGAAGAUGCCAUUUCUGGCAGCGGCAAGUGUGGCACAGGCUCUCCUGUCAAACACUGAAGUGCAGAAGAACCUUCUAGAACAUCAAAUGUCUGCUUCCUGAAGAGAAUCGCUGUGCAUGAUCUCCACAGUAGAGAAGCUGAAAGUGGGCUACGAUCACGUAAGAAAAAGGCCUCCCACCAGCGUUGGUGAUGCGCACAGCUAGAAUCCCAGCAGUCUGGGAGGCGGAGGGAGGAGGGAGGGCGGAAAGUUCGGGCCCAGCCUGGACAAGCCAGCAACCGAGGGAGAGACCCUGUCUCAAAAUAAAAACAAAGUAAAAUAAAAUACGAAGAAAGGGCUAGGGGUGGGAUGUAGCUCAGUGCGAAGGCCCUGGCUUCACGCACCAGUAAUGCGGAGGUGGGGAGGGUGGAUCCCCAGAUACUUAAGAUCAGUGAGAUCAACCACAAAUUACAUUUUGAGGCUCAUAACUGAAACUGCCCUGCCCCAGGCUCUGACAGCGUUGUCUGAACUCCCAGCGCCAGGGCCCCUGAGCGGAAGGAAGACAGCAGGCGCUGCACCCUACUUCUGUAUGUCCCUGCCUCCUGCGCUUGUCCCGCUCACGUCACAGUAACCCCGGCCACCAAGGCUUCUGCAUGGCUUUGAUAGUCUUCUCUUCAUUAUCAGCUGAGGUUUUUUUUUUUUUUUUAAAGUAUGGAGUUUUCAGAAAA